CCUACGGGUGGCAGCAGUGAGGGAUAUUGGUCAAUGGACGAAAGUCUGAACCAGCGACGUAGCGUGGAGGAAGACUGCCCUUUGCGUUGUAAGCUUCUUUUAUAAAGGAAUAAAACACGGCACGUGUGCCUUUUUGCAUGUACUUUAUGAAUCAAGCUCGGCUAACUCCGUGCCAGCAGCCGCGGUAAUACGGAGGAUCCGAGCGUUAUCCGGAUUUAUUGGGUUUAAAGGGAGCGUAGAUGGGUUGCUAAGUCAGUUGUGAAAGUUUGCGGCUCAACCGUAAAAUUGCAAUUGAUACUGGCAGGCUGGAGUACAGUUGAGGCAGGCGGAAUUCGUGGUGUAGCGGUGAAAUGCGUAGAUAUCACGAAGAACCCCGAUGGCGAAGGCAGCCUACUAAACUGUGACUGACAUUGAGGCUCGAAAGUGUGGGUAGCAAACAGGAUUAGAUACCCGGGUAGUC
rnacentral:rRNA from 1 species